UCCCUCGAGCCGGAUUUGAACCAGCAACCUAAGGAUCACUGUUGUAACAUCUACAGUCCUCCGCUCUGCCAACUGAGCUAUCGAGAG
rnacentral:tRNA from 1 species